AACGAACGCUGGCGGCAGGCCUAACACAUGCAAGUCGAACGCUCCGCAAGGGGAGUGGCGCACGGGUGAGUAACACGUGGGAACCUACCUUCUGGUACGGAACAACCAAGGGAAACUCUGGCUGAUACCGUAUACGACCUCCGGGUGAAAGAUUGAUCGCCGGAAGAGGGGCCCGCGUCCGAUUAGGUAGUUGGUGAGGUAACGGCUCACCAAGCCUGCGAUCGGUAGCUGGUCUGAGAGGANGACCAGCCACACUGGGACUGAGACACGGCCCAGACUCCUACGGGAGGCAGCAGUGGGGAAUAUUGGACAAUGGGCGCAAGCCUGAUCCAGCCAUGCCGCGUGAGUGAUGAAGGCCUUCGGUUGUAAGUAC
rnacentral:rRNA from 1 species